rnacentral:piRNA from 1 species
UGUCUAGGUUUAUCUCUAACAAGA